rnacentral:rRNA from 1 species
AGGUGGAGUCGCUAGUAAUCGCGGAUCAGCAACGCCGCGGUGAAUGCGUUCCCGGCCUUGUACACACCGCCCGUCAAGUCAUGAAAGUGGGCAGCACCCGAAGACGGUGGCCUAACCCUCGUGGGGGGAGCCGUCUAAGGUGAGGCUCGUGAUUGGGACUAAGUCGUAACAAGGUAUC